rnacentral:piRNA from 1 species
UGCAACGAACUAGCUCAAUGGACUCCAAGC